rnacentral:tRNA from 1 species
CAAGAAGUAGCUUAAGUAAAGCCAUCCGCUUACACCGGUAGUAUGUCUGUUUAAAUCAGACCAUCUUGA